GACGAACGCUGGCGGCGUGCUUAACACAUGCAAGUCGAACGCUGAAGCUCAGCUUGCUGGGUGGAUGAGUGGCGAACGGGUGAGUAACACGUGAGUAACCUGCCCUCUUCUUUGGGAUAACGCCCGGAAACGGGUGCUAAUACUGGAUAUUCACUGAUUCUCGCAUGGGGGUUGGUGGAAAGGUUUUUUCUGGUGGGGGAUGGGCUCGCGGCCUAUCAGCUUGUUGGUGGGGUGAUGGCCUACCAAGGCUUUGACGGGUAGCCGGCCUGAGAGGGUGACCGGUCACUUUGGGACUGAGAUACGGCCCAGACUCCUACGGGAGGCAGCAGUGGGGAAUAUUGCACAAUGGGCGACAGCCUGAUGCAGCGACGCCGCGUGAGGGAUGGAGGCCUUCGGGUUGUAAACCUCUUUCGCUCAUGGUCAAGCCGCAGCUUUGGGUUGUGGUGAGGGUAGUGGGUAAAGAAGCGCCGGCUAACUACGUG
rnacentral:rRNA from 1 species